rnacentral:rRNA from 1 species
GACGUAGGGCGCGAGCGUUGUUCGGAAUUAUUGGGCGUAAAGCGCUUGUAGGCGGCACGUCAAGUCGCGUGUGAAAUCCCCAGGCUUAACCUGGGAAGUGCGCGCGAAACUGACGAGCUUGAGUGCCGGAGAGGGUCGCGGAAUUCCCGGUGUAGAGGUGAAAUUCGUAGAUAUCGGGAGGAACACCAGUGGCGAAGGCGGCGACCUGGACGGACACUGACGCUGAGACGCGAAAGCGUGGGGAGCAAACAGG